GACCCGCAGAAACACGUAUGGGUUCAGGUAAAGGCUCUCCCGAAUAUUGGGUAGCUGUUGUUAAGCCUGGUCGAAUUCUUUAUGAAAUGGGUGGAGUAACAGAAAAUAUAGCCCGAAGGGCUAUUUCAAUAGCAGCGUCCAAAAUGCCUAUACGAGCUCAAUUUAUAAUUUCGGGCUAAAGGCCCUAAUUAAAAAUAGCGGAUGCGGGUUUCUUUUUUUGGACAAAUAAUAUUUCUUUUUUUCUUUGACCUUUGUAUUGUAAAAACAGAUAAAAAAAAAAAA
rnacentral:misc_RNA from 1 species